ACACCAAAACACGCACAGUACCUUUAUUUUUUCUCUCCCACCGGCCGUUUCUCUCUCCCGUAUCUUUUCAAAUUCCGGCCACCCAUACUGUACACGCGCCAGCCAGUGACGUGCGGAAGGAGGAGGCGAGCUCGGCCGCCAAGUUUCACGGCCAGCCGCCGCCGGACGCGCGCCGAUCGGGCCAGAGAAGCCGCCGGCCGCCGGAUUUUCUCUCUCCUCUUUUCUUGUGUUUUCCGGCCAGCCCAGUCCCAAUUGAGCCUCCUCUCCCCCUAUUUUGGGUCCUCUGAAUCCAAAAAUGGCCUCCAAUCUCAAAAAUUCGAAGCGGUUUGAAAGAUCCCUCAAGAUCAAAACCGGCCGAACCUUUCCGGCCAAAUUCCGGCCACCUCCGGCGGAAUUGGGGUCAAUGGAGACCGGAUUGGUGAUCCUCGUUCCACGAGCUUCGAUUCGGAGCACCGGUGAGUCGUGAAAUUGAUCCCGUGGUGGAUCAUGGGUUAAUUGCGUGCUCCAGGUCCAGGUUGGAGACGUUGAUUGUCCGGGGCGAGCCCAACGUCUCAGUUCGUUGCCAAAGGUUCAAGAAGUUUUCUUCCCUUUUUCCUCUCGACCUUGUAUUGUUUCUUUAUCUGUCAUUUUAUAAAUUCCACAUGUAUUUGUAUAAUGCUCUGUAUACUGUAUUGGACGUGUGGUUGUUAUUUAUGCACUGGGUUGCCGCUGUUUUCUUUUGGAGUGCUGCAAUUUGUAGAAUCAGUUUGUAGUUUGUGGGAGGAAUAAGGGGAUGUUUUUAGAAGUGUGUUUUCAGUGCAGGUAGUUGUGGUAAGUAAAUCCCUUAGGGGAGGCUCUGUCGGAUUUUCCGUUGGAGGGUCCGGUAGGGUUUCCCUGGGAU